CAUUUUGUUUCAUUCAGCUUUGGUCCAAAUUAUCAAUUUACUCUGCACCACCCUGCAACAUUAGCAAAUAUUCACUUUUGUUAGAAAAUUGCCGGGAAAUGUCGAACAUUAGUGCAAAUAUUAGAAUAAAUGAAAGAAAGUUGAAAAAUUAAACAAUAUUUCGAAGUUUAAUGUUAUGAUAAUUGUAUCAGAAAAAGCAUAAGCAUGAACAAUGUUUGUGAGUGACAGUGCACUAGUGAGUAUGGCCAUGCAACAUUGCAGCAUGCAAUGGUAGAGCCAAGUGUUUGUAAGCAUGUGCAGACGUAUACAAUGCAUCGGGAACUUCACAGGAAAAAUUAUGCCAAAAACGGAAACGCACUACAAAUACUGGCAUAAAGUUUGCACCAAUGGCGUACGGGCAAUUCGUUUUCAAAUAACCUUGUUUUUUAUUUGUGCCAAAAUGACGUUCGUUUGAUAUACCAUUCAAAUCAAAAGUUUUGAACACCUGCUCAACUCGACUCAGCUCAUUUGUUGGGAUGCACAACAACAGCACUACCCACACGACGAC
rnacentral:sRNA from 1 species